GGCAUGGGGAUCAGAGUGGGUUUCCCUCACUGUUCUCCCCAGCAGCUCCAGGUCCUAGAGCUUUGGCUCUGGUCCAACCUGAGUCUACCUCAGCACACAGCCAGGUGGCUCAUGGGUAAAGGCCAAGUGUUGACCCCUCAGCCACAUACUUCACAGUCAAAAUCAAGCCCCACGGAUCCUUCCCCAGUAGCACACAAUGAAGACAUUAGCGGUGCAGAUCCUGCCCCUUCUAGAAGUUUCGCUCCCCUCCGUUCUGGAACACAUUUCUGACUACACGCAUGCUGUUCUUUACGUGAGCCUUCUAAAACUGCAUCUGCUCAUGAGGAAGGAAAAUCCACACUUGACUGUGAGUGCCACCAGCCAAUGGGCUUGGGUGACAGAGUCGCAGUCUAUGACAGCGGAGAGAUACGGCCUCUUCUCUUCUGGAAGCAGUAAGCUUCUUCACAUCAUGACAGACACGGCGUCAGAGAUCCAGACAGGAAGUGGGCAGGGACAACACAUGCCUAAGGACUUCUUCCAACAGAGCCACACCUGCUUAAAGGAUCUCAAACCGUCUAGAGAACAGAUUAUCAGCGUAUGAACCGUGGGGGACAUUUCAGAGUCAAACCAUAAUGUCUAACUGAAUUUUACACAAGGAGAUCCACUAGUUGUGAAUCAAGAGGAGGCUGGGAAGAAGGCUCAGCUAGGAAGACUUGCCACAUAAGCGUAAAGAAUGGACUUGGGCUCCUCUUCCCUCAAACUUCUCUCCCGCCCAUCCUUCCUUCUUGUCCAAUGACAGGCCUCCUUCUAUCCUGUACCUGCCCUCACCUGUAUUUUACACAUUAAAUGGGGAGAAGGUUCCGGUGAAGUCACCUGAGUCCUGAGUACAUGACUAGGCAGCCUCCUUGGGGCAGUGGAUUUAGCAUCAACAUACAGAUAACUCCAGGGCAAACCAGAACAAGGAUGCUCACAUCAAGGCUACACAAGAAGUGAAGAACAAGGUUAGGGCAACUGGAGGGCAGUAUCUUCAAGCCCUGUCCCCACUUCCUCCAGCCA